rnacentral:rRNA from 1 species
GAUGAACGCUGGCGGCGUGCUUAAUACAUGCAAGUCGAACGGAGACUGUAGCAAUACUGUCUUAGUGGCGAACGGGUGAGUAACGCGUUGGUGACCUGCCCCGAAGAGGGGGAUAACAGUCCGAAAGGAUUGCUAAUACCCCAUGUGGUCGUUUGGAUUAGAUGCCUUACGACUAAACGGAUUUAUUCGCUUCGGGAGGGGCCUGCGUCCCAUCAGCUAGUUGGUAGGGUAAUAGCCUACCAAGGCGAUGACGGGUAGGGGACCUGAGAGGGUGGCCCCCCACAAUGGAACUGAAACACGGUCCAUACACCUACGGGUGGCAGCAGUAGGGAAUAUUGCACAAUGGGCGAAAGCCUGAUGCAGCAACGCCGCGUGAGCGAUGAAGGCCUUCGGGUCGUAAAGCUCUGUCCUCAACGGAAGAUAAUGACGGUACUUGAGGAAGGAAGCCCCGGCUAACUACGUG